rnacentral:rRNA from 1 species
UACGUAGGGGGCAAGCGUUGUUCGGAAUUACUGGGCGUAAAGGGCGCGUAGGCGGCACGGCAAGUCGGGAGUGAAAGGCCUGGGCUCAACCGAGGAACUGCUUUCGAGACUGCCGAGCUAGAGUGCGGAAGGGGCAUCUGGAAUUCCCAGUGUAGCGGUGAAAUGCGUAGAUAUUGGGAAGAACACCUGAGGCGAAGGCGGGAUGCUGGGCCGACACUGACGCUGAUGCGCGAAAGCCAGGGGAGCAAACGGG